rnacentral:rRNA from 1 species
AUUGAACGCUGGCGGCAGGCCUAACACAUGCAAGUCGAACGAGUGGCGGACGGGUGAGUAAUGUCUGGGAACUGCCCGAUGGAGGGGGAUAACUAUUGGAAACGAUAGCUAAUACCGCAUACUGUGCGAUGGACCUGCGUUGUAUUAGCUAGUUGGUGAGGUAAAGGCUCACCAAGGCGACGAUACAUAGCCGACCUGAGAGGGUGAUCGAGCACACUGGGAAUGGAAAACGGCCCAGACUCCUACGGGAGGCAGCAGUAGGGAAUCUUCGGCAAAUGACGGAAGUCUGACCGAGCAACGCCGCGGGAGUGGAGAAGGUUUUCGGAUCGUAAAGAUCUGUUGUUAGAGAAGCGGUAACUAACCAAAAAGGGACGGCUAACUACGUGCCAGCAGCCGCGGUAAUAC